CCUAUACCCUAUAUCAGCUCACAUUAAAUCUCUAAACUUUAAUCUUUUAAUCAUCAAAUUUAGAUUAUAAACCAUAAAAUGAAAGUUAAUACUUUAAAUGAUUUAACUUAACACUUAUACUCAAACUCUAUAUCCCAAACUCAAAACCUAAAAUCAUAAUUAAGAUAACCCUUCAUCUUUAGUCUUUUAAAUUUAAAACAAUAAAAUAUUAUAAAAGCAAAAUAUAAUCAAUAAUCCAUAUAUACAAAGAUUUAAAACAUUUACAUAUAAUAUUAAACUUUAAAUGCAUUAAUCAAGCUUAAAUUUAUAAGAUAUAAUCUUAAAAUUUACAUUAAACAGAAAAUUAAGUAAAAACUAUAAACCUAGAAUAUGAGGGCACGGGAAAAUUGUACCAAUCUACCAAUUUUUUAAACCUAAGUCUUUAUCUCGCGCAGCUGGGUCUAAGAAAGAGGUCUCACCGCCUCUGCUCUCUCUGGAUCUCUAUCUCUCUAUCUGUCAUUCUCGUUGAAGAGCAGAGGCAUCAAGAGCAUCGUAGCCAAGCUCACCUCUCUCUGAUUCCAGAGCACUCUCCUUCUGAUUUAUUCUCCCCCAAUUUCUUUUAUAUCUCAAUCUCUCAAUCUGUGAACGGUUAAAGACAUUGUUUCAGAUCUCAUUCUCCCUUACUGUCGUCGGUUCCUACUCCUAAGUUUAGAGGAGAAGAAGAAGAAGAAGAAGAAGAAGAAGAAGAAGAAGAAGAAGAAGAAGAAGAAGAAGAAGAAGAAGAAGAAGGUUUUCUCCUGAUGUUUACUUGUUCACUACAGCAGUUAACGUGUGUUGCAAAGGAGGGAAAGUGGACGAGUGUAUUGAGAUGUUAUAGAAGAUGAAAGAAGCUGGUGUUGCGCCGAAUGUUGUUACUUACGAUUAUUGGGAUAUGUUAAGAUCCCAUAUACUAAGAUUGAGUCAUAUCUUCAUUAUGUAAACUUUCCUAUAAACUCGGGAUUGUAUUUGUAUAUAUACGAUGGCUUGUUAACGCCUAUGAAAUAAGAUAAACAGAUUGAUAAA